rnacentral:tRNA from 1 species
GCCGCGGUGGUGAAAUGGUAUACACGCACGGUUCAGAGCCGUGUGGCCGCAAGGUCAUGUGGGUUCAACUCCCACCCGCGGCA